ACGAACCGUGCGAACGUUGUUCGGAAUCACUGGGCUUAAAGGGCGCGUAGGCGGGCGGCCGCGUCCGGGGUGAAAUCCCUCGGCUCAACUGAGGAACUGCACGGGAUACUGGAAGACUUGAGUUCGGGAGAGGGAAGCGGAAUUCCGGGUGUAGCGGUGAAAUGCGUAGAUAUCAGGAGGAAUACCGAUGGCGAAGGCAGGUCUCUGGGCUGACACUGACGCUCAUGCACGAAAGCGUGGGGAGCAAACAGGA
rnacentral:rRNA from 1 species